GACGAACGCUGGCGGCGUGCUUAACACAUGCAAGUCGAACGGUGAAGGGGAGCUUGCUCCCCGGAUCAGUGGCGAACGGGUGAGUAACACGUGGGCAACCUGCCCCAGACUUCGGGAUAACGCUUCGAAAGAGGUGCUAAUACCGGAUACGAACUCCUUGGGCAUCCUGGGAGUUGGAAAGUUUUUCGGUCUGGGAUGGGCCCGCGGCCUAUCAGCUAGUUGGUGAGGUAACGGCUCACCAAGGCGACGACGGGUAGCCGGCCUGAGAGGGCGACCGGCCACACUGGGACUGAGACACGGCCCAGACUCCUACGGGAGGCAGCAGUGGGGAAUAUUGCGCAAUGGGCGAAAGCCUGACGCAGCAACGCCGCGUGAGGGAUGACGGCCUUCGGGUUGUAAACCUCUUUCAGCAGGGAAGAAGCGAAAGUGACGGUACCUGCAGUAGAAGCACCGGCUAACUACGUGCCAGCAGCCGCAGUAAAAC
rnacentral:rRNA from 1 species